rnacentral:rRNA from 1 species
GUUUGAUCCUGGCUCAGGAUGAACGCUGGCGGCGUGCCUAAUACAUGCAAGUCGAACGAGUUCUCGUUGAUGAUCGGUGCUUGCACCGAGAUUCAACAUGGAACGAGUGGCGGACGGGUGAGUAACACGUGGGUAACCUGCCCUUAAGUGGGGGAUAACAUUUGGAAACAGAUGCUAAUACCGCAUAGAUCCAAGAACCGCAUGGUUCUUGGCUGAAAGAUGGCGUAAGCUAUCGCUUUUGGAUGGACCCGCGGCGUAUUAGCUAGUUGGUGAGGUAAUGGCUCACCAAGGCGAUGAUACGUAGCCGAACUGAGAGGUUGAUCGGCCACAUUGGGACUGAGACACGGCCCAAACUCCUACGGGAGGCAGCAGUAGGGAAUCUUCCACAAUGGACGCAAGUCUGAUGGAGCAACGCCGCGUGAGUGAAGAAGGCUUUCGGGUCGUAAAACUCUGUUGUUGGAGAAGAAUGGUCGGCAGAGUAACUGUUGUCGGCGUGACGGUAUCCAACCAGAAAGCCACGGCUAACUACGUGCCAGCAGCCGCGGUAAUACGUAGGUGGCAAGCGUUAUCCGGAUUUAUUGGGCGUAAAGCGAGCGCAGGCGGUUUUUUAAGUCUGAUGUGAAAGCCCUCGGCUUAACCGAGGAAGCGCAUCGGAAACUGGGAAACUUGAGUGCAGAAGAGGACAGUGGAACUCCAUGUGUAGCGGUGAAAUGCGUAGAUAUAUGGAAGAACACCAGUGGCGAAGGCGGCUGUCUGGUCUGUAACUGACGCUGAGGCUCGAAAGCAUGGGUAGCGAACAGGAUUAGAUACCCUGGUAGUCCAUGCCGUAAACGAUGAAUGCUAGGUGUUGGAGGGUUUCCGCCCUUCAGUGCCGCAGCUAACGCAUUAAGCAUUCCGCCUGGGGAGUACGACCGCAAGGUUGAAACUCAAAGGAAUUGACGGGGGCCC